GUAGUUGUGGCCGAGUGGUUAAGGCAAUGGACUAGAAAUCCAUUGGGGUCACCCUGCGCAGGUUUGAAUCCUGCCAACUAGGCA